GACGAACGCUGGCGGCGUGCUUAACACAUGCAAGUCGAACGGAAAGGCCCUGCUUUUGUGGGGUUCUCGAGUGGCGAACGGGUGAGUAACACGUGAGUAACCUGCUCUUGUCUUUGGUUUAACUUAAGGUAAUGGGGCUUACUCCCGUACCGCAUCCCCCCUUCCUGGGUGGGGAUGGGAAGUUUCGGCGGUUGGGGAUUGACUUGGGGGCUAUCGGCUUGUUUGUUGGGUAGUGGCCUACCAAGGCCUUGACGGGUAGCCGGCCUGGGAGGGUGGACGGCCACAUUGGGACUGAGAUACGGCCCAGACUCCUACGGGAGGCAGCAGUGGGGAAUAUUGCACAAUGGGCGGAAGCCUGAUGCAGCAACGCCGCGUGCGGGAUGACGGCCUUCGGGUUGUAAACCGCUUUCGCCUGUGACGAAGCGUGAGUGACGGUAAUGGGUAAAGAAGCACCGGCUAACUACGUG
rnacentral:rRNA from 1 species